rnacentral:lncRNA from 1 species
GGCGUAAUAGGAUUUUUUAUUCGUUUGUUUUUCACUUUGGAUGUACACCAGAUCUUAGAUUUUUUUUUUUUUCCUAGCUAGUCAAGUUUUCCAGCUAUAAUGGAGAGAUGGGGACCAGCUUAGUGUAACUAUGGCAAAUAGUAAUGAGUGGAAUUUUGAAGAGUAUGGUACAUUCUUGGUGAAUUACUUAGAAGACCUAGAUAUUUGGAAACAAAAAAAAGUUUUCAACAAAAAAUCAGUCUCAUGUACAGAUUCAAGUUUGAUCUCUCAUGUUGGGAGGUGCUUUGCAGAUAUUUCUGAUUUCAUGCAUACCAGUGAUGCCGUGUGAACUGAAGUGUGACUGUAUCCAAAGUCUGUGGAUAUUUGGAUUUCCGUUUAAAGCUUAGGACAAUCCAUUUUACCUGGAUUGUUGCUGCCUUUGAAGACCUGUGAACAUUUUUUUUUUCUUUUGAAGUGAUUAUAUUGUACUUCUUGGUAUGUAACUGAAUGCCAUUUGUAUGUGCAGGCAUACAGACUGAGUCUAUGGAUGAAGAUGUUAAAGUACUCUCGCUCCUACCCUGUAAUCUUGAUUUUGGGAUAAGUGUGACAAUGCAUAUGGCCAUACUGAAAAGCUCUGCCUAGAAUAUUCAUCUUGUUCACCAGCAUUUUAAUGCUUAAUAUGUUCUGAUACAGUAAAACAACAACAACAAAAAGACUAUGGUUCUUAGUGUUUCAUGUUAUUGGAAGACAUGCUUACUUCUUUAUUUAUUUGUGACAUUGUUAAAGCAAAGAGUUGGUCCAGCUGUAAAUUUAUAAGCUGUAAGCAAUAUACUCUGCCUUUGGCCAAAUUCUAGUUUCUCAACAUUCACACUCCGCCUGGAGUGAAUCUCUGACCAACAAAUUCCCUAAAAUAAGAACGAAUAAUGGAAAAGCUGACAGGACCCUUAGCAGCAGAGCCACGGGCUUCAGUGUAAACAACAUAAUAACAGAGUGGGUUUGAAUGUCGUCCUGGAAUUUCAG